CCCUGGAGAGGCUGGGAGCCCCGGGGCUGGAGGGGGCAGAGACCCCCUAUCUCAGCGGGUACAGGGGACCCUGCAGAAGUGUUGGGCAGUCACUGGGCCACAUCAGGCCCUUUGUGUGUAGCUCUGGGGGUCUCCCCGCACGCUGGGGAGUAUUCUCCAUCCCCGCUGCCUUCUCUUGGACGCUGCUGUGGGGAUUCGGUGCCCUGCUUCUGGCAGUGCUCAGGAGGGAGGGCCACGGCACAUUGGCUCAGCUCAGGGUGAGGAGGCCCUGGCAAGAGAAAGGAAGCUCCACUGAAAGCUUUGACCCUCUCCAUCUCUUGGCCAAGCUAAAUGACAGCCUUGCCUCCCCUGCAGCCCCUUCCAGCCAAGGAUCACAAAGAACCAGACAAAGAACCUUUGGUAUAUAUGGUUGUGACUACUUUCUUCCACUAUUUGAUCUGAGGAAGUGGGUCUGGCCCACGAAAGCUCAUCAUCUAAUAAACCAUCUUGUUAGUCUUUAAAGUGCUACAUUGUCCUGCAUUUUGCUUCAAAGAACCAGACAGACACUGGUAACUGAACCUUCAUUCUUCCCCCACAAGGCAGGGAACGUUCCUGAAUCCUGAGGCAAACUGGUGACAGAUAAGACACUAAAGCAUGAAGAAAUUUGUCUGUCUGUUCUUAACUCUGUCUGCUUGUGCUUUGCUCUGCAUCGUGGCCUGCCUGCACUUCUGCCUGCAGCUGUGUUGGGCCAGCUGUAAGCAGCUGGAGGACCAUAAACGUCCCUUGGUGAUGGUGCCUGGAGCCCUCAGCCUUAAGGGAUACAGUCGUGUUCCUGAUGGACAGGUGGGUUAAAGUUCUCGCUGUGAAUGGGUGGGGAGAAUCUGAGCUAGUGGUUAGAGCACAAAGCUGGGAGUUAGGGUUCCUGGGUUCUAUGUGCAGUGUCACCGUGUGCCGUAGGGUGAGUCACUUCACCUAGCAUUGCCUCUUUUCCACCACUAAAGAAGACAAGGUACUUACGUUCCCAAGACUUGAGGAAUGUUUGCACCAUGUUCGA